rnacentral:misc_RNA from 1 species
UGUGGGUGGUCAGGACUCGAAUCCAGACUCCUCCUUAGGCUAAAGCUCGGGCUAAUUCGGACAAAGCCGACCAACCACCCCUACUCCACCCUCGGUUUUGAGUAAAUAAGCUUCCAGGUGGAUUUGUUUAUUUUUUGCGUUGGUGCAGUGAAUUCGUGUGCGGGUGGAUGGACAUGGAGUUUUCGGUGGUGCUGGUGGUGAGUCUUUUUGUGGCUAUCGGAUCCACUAACGAAGUUGUCAUCCGGAAAGGACGAGGAAAAGGAUCCAUGUGGUGGGGCAUAGCGAUGGCAGGAGAACCCAACAACAUUUCGCCUUUGAAGCCCGGAUUGUCUUACAUGGAUCCCUCUGUUCACGGAACGCUAAGGAAGAAACAGAGGCGGCUUGCCAGGGAAAACCCUGGCGUUUUGGAUGCGAUAGCCAAGGGGGCAAAUAUGGCCAUUCACGAAUGCCAGUAUCAGUUCAGAAACAGGCGGUGGAAUUGUUCCACCAAAAAUUUUUUAAGGGGAAAGAAUUUAUUCGGAAAAAUUGUCGACAGAGGGUGUCGUGAGACGGCCUUCAUUUACGCGAUAACAAGUGCGGCAGUCACACACGCGAUAGCUCGUGCUUGCAGUGAAGGUUCAAUAGACACCUGUAACUGCGAGUACAGCCACCACAAGAGUCGACCUAGAAUGUAUUCUAGUAGUCGAGGAUCCGUUCCAGGAGUACGCGAAUGGGAAUGGGGAGGUUGUUCGGAUAACAUUGGAUUUGGCGUGGAGUUUGCCAGAGAAUUCGUCGAUACAGGCGAACGUGGUCGAAGUCUGCGAGAAAAAAUGAAUCUUCACAACAACGAAGCAGGAAGAAUGCACGUUCAAUCGCAAAUGCGCCAAGAAUGCAAGUGCCACGGCAUGUCAGGAUCAUGUACCGUUAAGACCUGCUGGAUGCGUCUCCCAUCGUUCCGUAUCAUCGGUGACAACUUGAAGGACAGAUUCGACGGAGCUUCUAGAGUAAUGGCGAGCAAUGCAGGCAAUUCCCGUACAAAUCAUGCUCACAAUAACAGGAGAAAAGAGCCGUCCAGCAACGACCUAUUGAGUUCCAACAGCAUACAUAGUAAAAGGGAACGAAAACCAAGGCGAAACAAACACGGGUUCCAGCUAAAACCUUACAAUCCCGAUCACAAACCUCCGGGUUCGAAAGAUUUGGUUUAUUUCGAACCUUCGCCCGGUUUUUGUGAGAGGAAUACCAAGCUGGGUAUCCCGGGUACCCAUGGACGUCAUUGUAACGAUACCUCCAUAGGUGUGGACGGGUGUGACUUGAUGUGUUGUGGGAGGGGUUAUCGCACGGAAGUGAUUGAAGCUGUCGAAAGGUGUCUUUGUACUUUCCAUUGGUGUUGCGAGGUCAAGUGUGACCUUUGCAGAACAAAAAAAACUGUGCAUAGGUGUUUGUAAACCUAUGCUACUUAUUCGUUAAAUAUUAAUUUGUUGUGAUUGCCAUUAUCCAUAAGACUUAGUAGGUAUUACGCAGGUAUUCUAUAGGAAAAAGAAAGUAAAUGUUAGGAACGCGAGCAUCUGCCCAAAGGACCAAUGGAAGUAUUUCAUGAUGGAAGGUUUUUUAGCCUACAAAAGUGCACGAGAUCUGUCUUGUUGAUCUAAUUCAUUGCAAAACGACAAAAACAUAAUAAAAUGUGUAUUGACUGUACAUGUAGAGCGUCUGCUACGAAACAAAUGAUCAGUAUUAUUUAUUAUCGAUAAUAAAAUAUUAAUGCGAAAUUCUCGCUGAUGUAUAUAGGAAAAUAGUAUUUAUGAAAAGACUGAUUGGACAGCAGAGAGUAGCUAUUUAUGAUGAUAUCGACUCGUUAAAUGUAAAUAAAUGUUUCAUAAUUAUGACAUUAAUAACGGAACGAUGGAAAAACUUGCGUGUAAUUUAAUUUAUUUAUCUGAUUGUUGUAAAUAACCGUAUCAGCGAUGUAUCUCACGAAACGUAUAGAUACCUACAUAACAUGUAUCGAAUGAAAAGACAUGCGACGUGUAUUUAUAUUUUUUAUUUAUUGUGUACGAGCUGUGUAUUUAGAUAGGUUUUUUUGUAAAUAGAAAUUUAA